CAGUCGCCACGGGAAUACGAGGGGGGCAAGCGUUGUUCGGAAUUAUUGGGCGUAAAGGGUGCGUAGGCGGCUUGACAAGUCUUGUGUGAAAUCUAUUGGCUCAACCCAUAGUCUGCACGGGAAACUGUCGGGCUUGAGAAUGGGAGAGGUGAGUGGAAUUUCCGGUGUAGCAGUGAAAUGCGUAGAUAUCGGAAGGAACACCUGUGGCGAAAGCGGCUCACUGGACCAUUUCUGACGCUGAUGCACGAAAGCUAGGGGAGCAAACAGGAUUAGAGACCCCUGUAGUCCCUGUCUCUUAUAU
rnacentral:rRNA from 1 species